rnacentral:rRNA from 1 species
CGAACGCUGGCGGCAGGCCUAACACAUGCAAGUCGAACGAACUCUUCGGAGUUAGUGGCGGACGGGUGAGUAACACGUGGGAACGUGCCUUUUGGUUCGGAAUAACUCAGGGAAACUUGUGCUAAUACCGAAUGUGCCCUUCGGGGGAAAGAUUUAUCGCCAUUAGAGCGGCCCGCGUCUGAUUAGCUAGUUGGUGAGGUAAAGGCUCACCAAGGCGACGAUCAGUAGCUGGUCUGAGAGGAUGAUCAGCCACAUUGGGACUGAGACACGGCCCAAACUCCUACGGGAGGCAGCAGUGGGGAAUCUUGCGCAAUGGGCGAAAGCCUGACGCAGCCAUGCCGCGUGAAUGAUGAAGGUCUUAGGAUUGUAAAAUUCUUUCACCGGGGACGAUAAUGACGGUACCCGGAGAAGAAGCCCCGGCUAACUUCGUGCCAGCAGCCGCGGUAAUACGAAGGGGGCUAGCGUUGCUCGGAAUUACUGGGCGUAAAGGGAGCGUAGGCGGACAUUUAAGUCAGGGGUGAAAUCCCGGGGCUCAACCUCGGAAUUGCCUUUGAUACUGGGUGUCUUGAGUAUGAGAGAGGUAUGUGGAACUCCGAGUGUAGAGGUGAAAUUCGUAGAUAUUCGGAAGAACACCAGUGGCGAAGGCGACAUACUGGCUCAUUACUGACGCUGAGGCUCGAAAGCGUGGGGAGCAAACAGGAUUAGAUACCCUGGUAGUCCACGCCGUAAACGAUGAUUGCUAGUUGUCGGGAUGCAUG